AUCCGGAAGACGAGUCCCAAAUAGGACGAAAUGCGCAUCCUGGAU
rfam:Trichobilharzia regenti genome assembly, scaffold: TRE_scaffold0012126